CCUGGCGGCUAUGCCGGGGUUCCCCACCCGAUCCCAUCCCGAACUCGGUAGUUAAGUCCCCCAGGGCCGAUGGUACUACGUCUUAAGGCGUGGGAGAGUAGGUCGCUGCCGGGU
rnacentral:rRNA from 1 species